rnacentral:rRNA from 1 species
UCGUCGCUCGCGUUAACGAACGAGACCUUAACCUGCUAAAUAGCCAGGCUGUUCUCCGAACGGUCGUCGGCUUCUUAGAGGGACUAUUGGCGUUUAGCCGAUGGAAGUUUGAGGCAAUAACAGGUCUGUGAUGCCCUUAGAUGUCCUGGGCCGCACGCGCGCUACACUGACGGAGCCAGCGAGUAAUUAACCUUUGCCGAGAGGUAUGGGGAAUCUUUGCAACCUGCAUCGUGCUGGGGAUAGAUUUUUGUAAUUCUGAAUCUUCAACGAGGAAUUCCUAGUAAACGCAAGUCAUCAACUUGCAUUGAUUACGUCCCUGCCCUUUGUACACACCGCCCGUCGCU